rnacentral:rRNA from 1 species
AUUGAACGCUGGCGGCAUGCCUUACACAUGCAAGUCGAACGGUAACGCGGGGCAACCUGGCGACGAGUGGCGAACGGGUGAGUAAUGCAUCGGAACGUGCCAAACAGGGGGGGGUAGCCCGGCAAAAGCCGGAUUAAUACCCCAUACGACCUGAGGGUGAAAGCGGGGGAUGGCAAGAACUCGCGCAGAUGGAGCGGCCGAUGACAGAGUAGGUUGUUGGUGGGGGAAAGGCCUACCAAGGCGACGAUCUGUAGCUGGCCUGAGGGGACGACCAGCCACACUGGGACUGAGACACGGCCCAGACUCCUACGGGAGGCAGCAGUGGGGAAUUUUGGACAAUGGGGGAAACCCUGAUCCAGCCAUGCCGCGUGCGGGAAGAAGGCCUUCGGGUUGUAAACCGCUUUUGUCGGAGAAGAAAUCCUCUGGGCUAAUACCUCGGGGGGAUGACGGUAUCCGAAGAAUAAGCACCGGCUACUACGUGCCAGCAGCCGCGGUAACAC